UUGCUGCUUGUUUUAUCCACAGUGAUGUGCAAGAUUUGCCCUUGCUAUCCAGGUGUCCAUGAUCGGUGGAGCCUUUCUUUUGGUCUGUUCUUUGUUUUAUGAACCCAGCUACGAAAAAAGUUAUGCACUUGUCGGUUAUCGUGGAAAGAGAAGAGGAUGCAUAAACUCUAAUUGCUUCCAGAAACCACAACCUGCAUCUCUCAUUCAACUCUCUUUUUCUCUAAAAAAAAAAAAACCCAAAAAUGGCUUUGGAGCACCGAAGACGAAUUGAAGUACGAGUGCUCCAAUUUCAAGAGUCUGAUUUCAGCAUCCCGGAGCAGGACUGUAAGGACAUCCUCAAGUCAUCUGGUAUCGUCUUCUUCACGUGUCUCUCCCUCUCUUCGACAGUAACGUUUCUGAUUUUUCUUGGAUUACGGUUUCAUGCCUUUUACCAUCACAGUUGCUGAAGAACUUGGACUCCCUAUCCCAGUGUUGUUUACUAGACCUUGGAAUGUUUGGAUUUUUAUCCGGUUUCGUGUUCGACCAACUAUUUGGUGAAUUUGUAUUCCUACUAAAGAUAUGAGUGUUGGCUUUGUGCAGUGGCUUCCUCCAUUGACCUCUACACCUACAUCUCUCUUCAUUCGAAUGUUAGGUGAUGUUAGGUGAGAAGCAUCACUGACGGCAUGUUGCAACUAAGGAUAUGAUGAUACUAUGAAUCACAGAUAUGGCGAGAUCAAAAGCACUACGGAUUCAAAUUGGAUUGGGUGUUGUUGCUGGUGUUGUACUCUCCGUGGAUAUUUUGGAGGCGUCGCAUGAUUUACAGGGCGGGCCUAGCUCACAGAGAUCUUCGUUCAUGAAAUUACAAAGGAGCCUUAUGUGUUGGAGAUUCGAGGAGGAAAACUUAGCAUCGUGGCACCGCUGGAAGUGGUAAUUGCUAAUCAAGUUUUCACUCUUUUUUCUACAUACUUUUGGUUUAAAGCAAUAUCAUUUGAAUGAUGAAAUUUUGUGGGUGCAUAUAGAAAUGUCAAGUUUAGUUGGAUGCUAGCAACUGGUUUCCGUUUCCAUCCUUUUGUGGCUGUCAAUUUUAGUUUACGUAUUGCAUCUUGGCUUCCAAACUUUUUAUUCCUAGAUUUUCAUAUCACACGGUAGUCAUUGAAUUCAGAACGUCAGCCUAUGCCACCUAUGCUUACAGGAGGAAGGGGUGCCAAGGAAAAUAAAUCUAAUUUAUUUCAAAGUUUGAAUCAUAAACCAGGAAGAAAAAUGACCUGAUCAUAGCCAAAUAUAGAGCCUCCUAGAGCUGCAAUGUAAGCAAAGAUGAAAUGCCCAGUAAUCCUAUACUCAUACUGAUGAACCAUUUUAGAUACUACUCCAUCACCUCCAAAUCCUCUUGUGUCGAUUUAAGAUGCAUUAUUAGGAUAGCCUCGCACCACUUACAUUUACUUCGCUGCUGAUAUAUUUUUUGCAUCCAAUUUUCCAUUAUCUAAUCUUUAACUUACUUCUGUUAUAAUUAUUUCAAUCAAUUCUUUAACAUAUACACUCUUUUUAGGGAAUUGUUGCUGCACUUAUUGUACUUCAAAGAGCAGUAAACCGAAUCGUGAAACAAUUUUCAAGUGUAGUAUUACUCAAGAGAGUAAUGUCACAUAUAACGAUUUAUAAAAUUUGUUUUGAUUAUGCCCUCCAUCAUCAUCAGGGAAGUAUUGCGAGUUUUUAUUUGUAC